rnacentral:tRNA from 1 species
GCGUCUGUGGUGGAAUGGUAGACACGCUGGUCUUAGGAACCAGUUCUUCGGAGUGCAGGUUCGAGUCCUGUCAGACGUAC